rnacentral:Y_RNA from 1 species
GGCUGGUCUGAAAGUAGUACAUUAUCUCAACUGAGUGUCCACAUUCAGUUACAGACCAAACUCCUCGUUCUCCUCUUUUCUCCCCUUCUCACUACCGCACUUGACUAGUAUCAA